AUGAAAUGAUAUGUAUGCAGUUUGGAAUUCACUACAUUGAAUUCCCUGAACUUGUUUAUUUUUGGAAUAAUUUUUUUUUUGCGGAUUUUCUUAAAAUUAACAGUAUAGCUCACAAGCAGUAUGUGAAAAACGUUUGACCAAUCAGAUGGUUCUAUCAUUGCGCAUGCGUAGUGAGUGGUCCUUUUACAACCACGUGCGCUCAGACCUAACGAAAAAUCCCAUUUUUCGGUGCGCUCAACGUGGCCCAAACAUGCCCUUGCGGAAACAGUUAACCCUUCCUGUCGUGUGUCGGUUUCCUGACGUCGUCAUGUCUCCUGAUAGACCCGCCAUGCUCACCGCGUUGUCACAUGGAGCCGGACCAGCAUCACCACCAGCAAGUCGGGUUAAACCAGCUGAACUCGGGGCCGUGGCUUCACCUGUGCCCCUCUGCCACUUCUGUGGUAAGCAAGGGAAUUUGCGAUGCGCGUGUUGCAAGAAGUCAACAUACUGCUCUGCGGGGUGCCAGGCCAGUGACUGGAAGAGGCACAAACAGAUGUGCGUGCCCGUCAAGAUGGAGGGCAUAAAGGAGAAGCCGAACCAGAUCGCUGCCUCGCUUUCAGUUUUGAACAGCAUUCCUUUGGGUUCAAAGCAGGCAGUUGCAUUGGAACCUCCGCGGGUGUAUUUGAAGGACUUGCAUCCCAUUAAGAUUAAUAAGGGAACAGAUAUUCAGGCAUCUGUUGUGGAGUUCUACAACCCUGGGAGAUUUUUCCUUCUUUUCCAAAGCCCAGAGUUUUUGGAUAUUCUGCAGCGCAUCAGCAACCAGCUCCAGAAGAUCCCCAGCUCUCGUUCUUCACCGCCUUACGUUCCCCGUGUUGGAGAGGUCUGCACAGCCCAGUUCUCUGGCGAUUUGAUUUGGUAUCGAUGCCUGGUGCAGAAGUUGGCGGCUGAUCAAAGCACUGCUCGGAUGCUUUACAUCGAUUAUGGAAAUGAGGAAGACGUCCCCAUGGACAGGAUCGGACCGCUGCCUGCUGACCUUGAACCAUAUCAUCCUUGCGCGCUGGAGUGUCACGUUGCCGGCGUGGAGCUGCCUGAAGGCAACUGGUCCACUGAGUGCUGUUCAGCCAUGAAAAGGAUUCUGGCCGAUAGGGUGCUGACUGUGAGGCUGGUGGAAACCUUGGAUAAUGUUCACGGACAAGCUGUGGACAUUGAGCUUCCCAUGGGUAAGUGUCUGAGCUCAUUCCUCAUCGAGCGGGGUUUCUUAAAGAGGAAAGACAGUUCACCGACAGUGCAAGAAAUAUGUGGCAUGGAGGAUGCUUCCUUGGAAAACUUCAAGCGCCAAUCUCAGGGGAAGGACGACAACAAAUGGGCUCAGCCACCCGAGCCUCUCCUGCAGGCGGUGGGCAAUUCCUUUUCCGUCGUGGUCACACAUUUCCAGUCACCUGAUAACAUGAUUGUGCAGAAGGUGGAGAAUGCAGGCGUGAUUCAGGAGUUGCAGGUGAAUUUGAGGCAACAUUGCAGUCAGGUGUCUGCGUCCCAAAACUUCAUACCGGCACCCGGCACCAUCUGCUGCGCACAGUACUCGGAGGACAAGCAGUGGUACCGGGCCAAAGUGCUGGCGUACUCCUCAGAGAAGCGCGUUUGUGUUGGCUACAUUGAUUUCGGCAAUUCUGAGUAUGUGAAUAUAGAUUGCCUGAGACCCAUCAACUCGUCACUGCUUGCCUCGCCGAUGCAGGCGCUCCCUUGUUGCCUAGCAGGGAUACAGCCUGUCGGAAAGAGCUGGCCCGAGAAGUGUCUGUUGGUCUUGCAGAGAAGACUGUCCAACAGAAUCCUGCUCGUGAGAAUUGAGGGGGCACACGAGGGCAAAGCUCUCGUCACCAUGGUCGACGAGGACAGCGACCCUCAGGCCAACGUCGCUGAGAUGCUCAUCUCCGCUGGUUUCGCCACGCCAGCUCUGGUUCCAGUAAAGGCCAACGAGGUCUCACAGGCUGAGCAGCCUGCUCCAAAACCACAUCCGCCUUUGCCUGUGUGCAAGCCUCUGUCGUGGUCCUCAGUCGAGCUUACCACCGACGGCCAUCCAGUGGCGCUGUUAAGCGUUUUUGUGAACAACCCUGGAGAGUUUUUCUGCCGCAUUGACAAUCCUGCAGUUAAUCAGCGAAUGGUGGAGCUCAACGCUGAGGUGAAGCAGCAUUGUGAGGCCGAGGCGAUUGCUUUCGAACCCAAAGUUGGGGAACCCUGCUGUGCCAUGUCACCAGAUGACCGCGUCUGGUAUCGUGCGAUGGUCAAGAGUCAGUCUGAAGACAUGGUAGCUGUGAACUUUGUGGACUGCGGUUAUAAUCUGGAAGUGGAAAGAAGGAACCUUCGCUCCAUUAAGUCUCAACUCCUUCGGCUGCCUUUCCAAGCCGUUCGCUGCUUUCUCUCAGGUGUGGAGCCAGUGGGUUCAGAGUGGAGCAAAGAAGCCAUCUUUUGGUUCCAGAAGCAAGUGGGAGGCGAGAAGCUGUCAGCACGCGUCUUUUCUGUCAGCAAACGGGGAUAUGGCGUGGAACUGGAGUGCAGAGGCCGAAGCAUCGCAGCUGGUCUCGUCUCGAGUCUCCUUGCCAGAUGUCCUGGAGAAAUUCUCCAAAAGGCACUCCCAGGCUCGUCGCCAGGGGGUGAGCAGCGAGCGAGCAUACGAGAGACGGAGCAGAGCCAAAUCAAACCCUCCGAACAGAUGACUGUAGUGAAGGAAUUGCCAUCAGGAACAGCCUUCCCAGUGGACUGGAAGACGGUAGAAAUGUCCAUCACUGGGCCCUUCAAACCUUACAUCGCAGCUGUGAUCAGUCCUUCCCUCUUCUAUCUGCUGAGCCUCACCAAGGUGGAUCAACAGAAGCUCCAGGAGAUGAUGCUCGAGCUGGCCACCUUCUGCAAUGGCAAUCGGGCCACGUUGUCCUCAUGCACUGACCGGAGGAAACUCAGCCCUGGUGCCGCCUGCUGUGCCCAGUUCACUGCGGAUAACAACUGGUACCGUGCUGUAGUUGUGGAGCUGUGCGACGACAACGAGGUAUCAGUCAUCUACGCCGACUACGGCAACACUGAAAAGUUGUCAGUCUCCCGCAUUUUGCCGAUUCCCGAGCAUCUGCUGCAGCUCCCCUUCACAAUAGCCCGCUGUGCUCUGGCUGGCAAGGAGCAUUUUCCUGCCGAGUGGCCACCAGACAUGCUGCAGAUAUUCUACAGCUUGCUGCAGGAUGGCAUUCUUGCCACCGUGCUGUCCUUCGACAGCUUCGCCAACAUCCUUACCAUCACUCUGCCCGCUGAGAAGGGCGGGGUCAACCUCUCCGCGCUGAUCAAAGAUGCAUUGGAGAGCAGUAAUGUGCAAAGUGCACGGAGCCAGUCCGCAGCUACCGAGGCUGAGCAACUGGAGGGAAGCAGUGCUCUUCUGCCUAAAUUGACGCCUGCCGUACAGAAGAGUUUGGAAAAUACAGUGGAGGCCCCUGGGCCAGCUGUAAAUCUGGAGCAGACCUCCCACAACCCACAGCAGAUAAAAACCACCCCAGCGGAGCUCCAGAGGAGUGGGUCAAGUUUGAAUUUUACUCCCUUUUUACAGUAGGCUAUCUACUCAAUCAGUGAUUCUCAACUGGUGGUGGUUGGUGGACACUGUUAUGAGCUCUUUGCAGAUUCCCAGACCCCUGCAUGUUGCUGCCAAAGCCUGGAGACAAAGAUCGACCGUUUGGAGCAGAUGAUUGCACGUAUUGAGCAGAUGAUGGAGCUGCUGGUUUCCUCACGCGAGUAGUGUUGAACGCUUGCAGUCUUCAAUGCUGUUGUUAAAGUUCUACUGACUCUUGACCACUCUUUUAUUGUUUUAAGUUGAAGUACUGAUUGAUCUUUGUUUUAAUAUUUCCAUGUCUGUAAUAAGUGAGCUGGGCUGGUCUGGCAUCAUUUUGUUAGGAGCUUUUCACACUUUUUGGUUGUGUUUUGCAAAAACGUUUCCUCAAAAGUCUGGAUUUUUUUAUGCAUUACUGACAUCAAUAUAGCCAUUAGAACGUUGUCACAAAUAGGUUAGAAAGGGAAUAAUGUUCAGUUUUAAUCGACAAGAUCUGUGAUUUUUGACAUUGUCAUAGAAUUUAAAAAGUAAUGUGGCUGCAGACAAAAAAACACAAACCACAAUAUGAUAUAGUUACAUAUGUACAUUUUACUUUACAUUAUAGGAUAUGAUUGCUAUUUUUUU